ensembl:lncRNA
UUCUCAUCCUCCUCCUUCUGUCUUCAGCUUUUUCUCCUCCUUUUGGCUUCUUCUAAUUUUCUCCUCUUUUUCCUUUAUUUCUCCUCGUCCUUCUCUGUCCUUGUUAGAAGAAAAUUGAGUGUUCACAUGAUCAUAUAUCUCUGUGCUAAGUUUCAGUAGUUUUCUACUUGCCUGUACACUCACAAGAAUGUAUGUUGUAACCACAUUGCCACACAUGCAGCUUACAGUCACAACACACAUACACCUCACCUGCUAAACAUUCUCAUUCUCACGAGAAAAUUCUUCUUCUCACACCACACAUAUGUUUUGUCUCAGAGCGUGGGACCGCCCCACCCUCUGCUGUUCUGUAACCUAUGCUUUAUUAUAAAUAAAGGGAUAAGGAACUGCUCGGCGCGUCUCUGCUUCAGAACUUCUGUGAUCCAGGUUGGAGUCAGCCCGCUGGAGGCGGUAAUCCUCUGACAUAAUUCUUGGUCCUUCAAGCCGGAUGGGAAGCCUGAGAUCCCGCUGAGUGGUUAACCUGAAGUCUGUCGACAGCCAGUCACCCAGGGUGUCUGAAAAGACCCAGGACGUGAAUUCGGACCUGGGCCAGGGUUAGAACCAACCCUCACGGUGAUUCUCUGGUUUUCCGUCCGAACAACGGAUCACUAGAACGAGAGUGAGUAUCCACACGCAAAGAGAGUGAAUGGGUUUCGAGCUUUAACCGUAGCUAAAGUUCUGGGUUUAUGAAUUUUAACCGUAGCUAAAAUUCUGGGUUUUGAGCUUUAACCGUAGCUAAAGCUCUGGGUUUAUGAAUUUUAACCGUAGCUAAAAUUUCGUGCACAAGAGGGAUUUCGAAAGGAUCCCUGGAAAAGUCAGUAAGUUACUUUUCCUGUGAAGUAGGAUUACUUCACGUAGGUACCUACACCGAGGUAAACCCACUGGAGGUGGUAAAUCCUCGUUAAGGGAGAGAAAGUUGUGUGGAUGUACGGGGUCAGAGGACAUUUUUUAGGAUUUAGAAUCCUGUCCUACCUCGCUGUGUUUAUUGUUUUGUCUGUUGGAGUAGGACGUAUACACGGUGUUCUGAGUAAGCUUUCCCCGCACUGAAUUAGUCAGUGUAGAAGCUUGGGAGAGGAACUUCACUCAGUAUCACUUCAUGUGUAAGAACUACUCACGCAGAACUUCAUAGUUUUCUAUGUCAAUACUCAUAGUUAUUUGGAUUAACUCCGAAGGACAACAAAGUGAAAUUAAAUAUUAUCUCAAAGAAGGACCUGGUGAUACAAUAAUCCUCCACCAAGGUCUCCUUCACGUCACGGGAGAAAUUGUUUUCAAAAUAGAUUGUUUAAAUCCUGAGCAACCCUACCAUGGGAGGCUCUAAAUCCAAAAGCGUUCACCCUGAUGUCCUAUUCAUGGAGAAUAAAUGCCCAGGUGCAGGACAAACUUUUGACCGGUGGAAAAAACUCGGGUUUUCGGGACAAUUAAAAACAUGUGACAUUCUUAAAUUACAAAGUGACCUCCAAUUAGAAAAGCUUAAAACAAAUAAGAAAAAGAAAAAAGAGAAAUUAGAGAGGGAAAUUACACUCAGUAAAGCAUGGUUAGAAGAAAGUGAGAGAAGAGAUGGACAGAGGAAGGAAAGAGAAAAGAAGAAGCAACAGAAAAAGGAUGAAAAAUUAGUUGCAGGACUUGUGAAGGAAGAUGAGGAAACGGUUGUAAGUAGAACAAGGGAGGUUCAGAGAAAGGAAGAACAGGAAGUUAGCGAAGGCACACCUAAUAGGGAACAACAGAAAGUAGAACCACCAUGUUUUUUGACACCAGAACAGAGAGAGUACUACACACGUUUAGCCAGACAGCGUAGAGAGGAACGAGAAAGGAGAUUCAAUGACACCGAGAAUAUGAGAAAAUUUCUAGAGCAGGGAGGAAUCAAGAAAAGAGGGGCGAAGGAGAAAAGUAAGGAGAUAUAUCCAGUCAGUGCAGUGGAAAGACAUGAAAGAGACUUCAGACCUGGACAUGACAUGACCGAGGAAAUAGAGCGCUGUGACGACUGCGGACCGACUCAUGUUACUGUAUGUCCACUCAUAGAAGUUGCAAACCCGAGGUUUGGCCAACCUACGGGCGAGCAAGACGACCGUGGUGGACCCAUUGUAGACGUAGAACCAACAAUGCUGGUUUACAGACCUUGGAGUAAUCAUGACAGAAAGAAAGCCACAUCGGGUAUCCCACACCCAAAAGAUGGUCUGAACGAAUUUAUCAAUGGCAUGCAAGGACUUAGAGUGAGCUACAGAUUAAAUGGUACAGAACUACAACAGUGUUUACAGGACGUUCUGACCUCAGACUGGGGGAGAGUACGGGGAGACUAUAUAGGACUGGACACUAGAGGAAGCCCUCUAACAUAUGACAGCCCAGAUAUGCUCAGACAAAUAGCUGACCUUUUAGACAGGGUUCGCCUCGAGUGGCCAGUGAGGGUGGAUUAUGCGGCCAUAGGAGAAACCAAGCAAAAAGAAGGAGAAUUGGCAGCAGAAUAUAGACACAGGUUGGAAAGAGUGUUUAGAGCCAAUUCAGGCAUCCAGCAGGAUGAAGCCGAGGAGUCUCCUUAUCAACAGCAAUUAAAAAUGCAUUUCUUAAAGGGAUUACUCCCACCAUUAAGACACCAUGUGGAAAAACACUGGGUAGACCAAAACACAGGCUCAGUAACACAGGCCGUUAACCAAGCUACUCAUGCUGAAGGGGUACAGAAAAGAAAACAAACCCAAAGCUCAGUUUAUGUAACUGAAAACCUUGAAGCCUACAGCCACAGACAGAACUAUCUGAGGGGAAGAGGUAGAGGCCGUGGUAGAGGCCAUUGGCGUAGACAUUAUCACACACGCACAGAAGACUCAGAUCAACUACAGAAAAAUCGUGAGCAGAAAUUGUGCUUUAUCUGUCACCAGCCAGGACACAUCGCGAGAGAGUGCAGACACAAACCCCCACAAGCAUGACUAGUUGCUGAUGAUAGCAGAAAACAGAAAGUAACACCUGCUUCCGAUAGGGAACAAGAAGUGCAGCUCGUGCAAUCACAAACUGCAGCUACACAAGAAAAUAAGAAAACACAGCCCAGCUCAGCUGCACAAACAAGCUCACACACACAAGGUCACAUACAGAAAGAGUGAGAACAGAGUGAUACUGACACCCAGCUUGAUAUUUUCAGUAUGGUUAAAGCAGCGCAUGAUAAGGACUCACCCACUAAACCAAUUUUGAUAAAUGGCAAAGUUUUUAACUGCUUAUGUGACACAGGAGCAUGUACUACAGUUCUUAGAGAGACUUUUCCUGGGAUGAGACUCUCCAACAAUGUAGUUUGGGUAAAAUCUGCAUCAGGACAUGUGACUCCUCUUAGAACCACACAUCCUGCCGCCAUUCUAGAUCCAGACUCCAAUAACAGCGCCAAAAUAUCAAUACUAGUGGAUUCAUCUUGUCCAGUAAACCUAUUAGGACGAGAUGCCAUGGUUAAACUGAAUAUUGGAGUUAUCCCCGACAAAGAUGGUAAAAUGACUGCAGUUACACUACAAACUACAUGUCUGGUGGAAGGAGCAGGUGUUCCACAUUUCUUUUGGAGUUUAGACCUGGUGGAUGAGCCUACAUCUCGUCACCUACUAACUAUGGCAAAACACAAGUUGAAAGAAACUCCCCGGAGUCCAGAUGUGGUUGAUUCCAUGGCACCCUCAGACCUGCAUUGCACAUUGCGAUAUAAAAAGGAUCCUGGACCAGAUGAACAAUAUGAUAAGAGAGUGCAUGCAGUAAAAUGCCGCACUAUCUGUCUCCAAGCUAUGUAUGUUCUGCCAUCAGGCGAUUCCUGUUGCUCAGUAAUAAUGGGACAGGAACUAAAAUCAAUAAGCAAAAUCACACCUGCACAUGUCUCGUUGACAAAAGCUAAGAGUCACCAGUGGUGGAACAUGCCUUUUAUGUUGGAGAAAGCCGAAAGAGAUGACUAUUCAAAACCUGAUGAUGAUGGUUGGAGUACAGGCAAAAACACACAAAUUAGGAAAAAGGUUUUGGGACUGUAUGUAGGAGUCACGCCACAGACACACCUAGAUGAAAAGAACUGACUAUUAGAAAAACCACAGUUUGCACUGUCAUUAGAACAUAUGCAAUUAUUAGAUACGUUACC